UCCCCAUGGAUGUUAAUAAGCUCGGGUCUGUGGCAGCAACAACUAUCUUCACUCCCAGCCUGCAGAGGUGAGCUACCAGUGAACUUCUUAAUGAUACGGAGCAUUCUCACCAGAAUGAGAUGAAUUCUCACCUCUCACCAGAGCAUACCUAAAUGUCCUUGGUGAAUAGUGUAUCCUCGCGUCCCUCCUGUGGUACCUUGGAUUCAGGUUCAGUUCCUGCCUUUUAUGAAUGGACCUCUCCAACGAAUGCCUGUAUUUGGCUGCUUUCCAGUACCUUCAAAUUUUUAAAAACUAUGGUCGAUAAUUUACAACUGUCAUCUGCAGGAAGACUGGGGCAAACCUUUGGACUGGGACGAGACCUGCAAUUGUUUUACAAACUAUUGUUUGAGAAGUCAGCAGGAAAACAGACAUCCUGAUCACAAGGACCGAAGAUUGUGGACUUUCUGAAGAAAGGAAGUAAAACCAGAGAGACGUGAUUUGAUUGGACACUGUGCAUGGAACUAAAUUGAGUCAUUGAUUUGGGAGAAAACUUGAGGACAGGUCUGCUUGGGAUUCUGAGACUUGGAAGAAGGCAUGGUGUCAUCCUGAUGGGCUGAAGUGAAGAUUUAUACUCUGUCCCAGGCAGCUUUCGCGUGAUCUUUGUGCAGUCUGGGUUUUCAGCAAGGCUGCUCCUUAGCCUCAGCAGGUUAAAGGCUACAGCAAGGCAUUCAGCGAGCCAGCCAACAAAGAGAAAGCGGAUUAUAAUCAUGAGGGUAGGGUCCUUUCUGGACAGAUGCUUUUUCUGUCUUUCUGCAUGCUUUGGUAAACUGAACAAUUUGGCUUCCUUUGUUUUGAGAUAUGUAAUCCCUCAGGAGAGUUAGCCAGUGGAAUUUUAACCCUUUCUACCAAAGCAACCUCUCAGCUGACCUCCAAUUUUCCCAAAGGAAAAAAUAGAGUUUCCUAAGCUUCUUUGGGGAAGGUUACUUGUGGGUCACUGAAAAUGGCAGAGUAACACUGUGCCAGUGAAUGACAUGUCAUGAGUGAUUAUGGAAGAGCUAAAAAAUAAAAUUAAUUGAUGGUCCAAUCAGUAGGCAUCAAAAAGAUCAUGUGUUUCCAAUAACUGCUAUAUAUAUUUUUCUAGCUCGAAUUCAAUUUCGAAGAGAAAGAUAGACACAAAGCACAUUUGUAUUACCGCCAUUUUUAGGGCCUACACUGUAAGAAUAUAUUCAUUAAUGAAAACUAUGAGGAUUUACGUUGUUUGGGAAAUUGCAUGACGUUUCCGCUUCAAUAUGAGUGACAAUGAUAAAGUAAAUAUUUGUAAAGUGUUGGUAAUACCACAAUAUUACAACUAAGAUUGCAAAAUCCUCAAUACAGGAAUGCCUGUUGAAUGUUCCCCAAACCUUGCUACUUAAGCUGCAGGAGCAGAAACGUUACAUUCUUAUCCUCAGUAACUGCUAUUCAUGAUUGAGUUAUAUGUGGAUAGGAAACUCUUCACCUAGAGAUGGUUUUGGAGAGCCAAAUAAACCAGGUAUUUCAAUAAGAUAGUUUUAUUGUUAUUAUUU
rnacentral:lncRNA from 1 species